rnacentral:rRNA from 1 species
UACGUAGGGUGCAAGCGUUAAUCGGAAUUACUGGGCGUAAAGCGUGCGCAGGCGGUGAUGUAAGACCGAUGUGAAAUCCCCGGGCUUAACCUGGGAACUGCAUUGGUGACUGCAUUGCUGGAGUAUGGCAGAGGGGGGUGGAAUUCCACGUGUAGCAGUGAAAUGCGUAGAGAUGUGGAGGAACACCGAUGGCGAAGGCAGCCCCCUGGGCCAAUACUGACGCCUCAUGCACGAAAGCGUGGGGAGCAAACAGG